rnacentral:rRNA from 1 species
GAGUUCAAGAGUACGUGAACCGUUUAGGGGUAAACCUGAGAAACCCGAAAGGUCGAAGGGAGAAAUUCAUUCGCGUUUCAUCGCAGGCGCGCGGCGAUCGCGUGACGGAGACGUUCGCGUUUUCCGCACCUUUCGUCGUGUUCGAUCCGGCGGCGAACGCGUGCACUUUUCUCCUGGUAGGACGUCGCGAUCCGUUGGGUGUCGGUCUAAGGUUCUGACGGUGGAGCCCGCGAGCACGGCCACGUGUCGUCGUGAGCGGACCMGUUUUUCCCGGCCGACUCGCUAGACGGUAUAAGAAAGGAUUAAGGCCACUCUCUAAUACGAGCGUUCGACCCGCGACAAGCGCGCCAGCAGUCCGUGAGCUAUCGGACCUAGCGUCCGGUACCGACCUCCGGUGAUUGUUCCUUGUGGUGUUUGUGGAGCGCGACCUUUUUAAGAAACC